CCUACGGGAGACAGCAGUGAGGAAUAUUGGUCAAUGGACGAGAGUCUGAACCAGCCAAGUAGCGUGAAGGAUGACUGCCCUAUGGGUUGUAAACUUCUUUUAUAUGGGAAUAAAAUGUUCCACGUGUGGGAUUUUGUAUGUACCAUAUGAAUAAGGAUCGGCUAACUCCGUGCCAGCAGCCGCGGUAAUACGGAGGAUCCGAGCGUUAUCAGGAUUUAUUGGGUUUAAAGGGCGCGUAGGUGGAUUGUUAAGUCAGUUGUGAAAGUUUGCGGCUCAACCGUAAAAUUGCAGUUGAAACUGGCAGUCUUGAGUACAGUAGAGGUGGGCGGAAUUCGUGGUGUAGCGGUGAAAUGCUUAGAUAUCACGAAGAACUCCGAUUGCGAAGGCAGUUCACUGGACUGCAACUGACACUGAGGCUCGAAAGUGUGGGUAUCAAACAGGAUUAGAUACCCCUGUAGUC
rnacentral:rRNA from 1 species